GGACUCUGCACGAAACACCCCAGCAUGUGACUAUAAGAUGCUUCUAGUCUGCCAGAAUCAAAUGAAAACUGGAGGUUUGGAAUGGAGAUCGCCUUGCCUGAGACCACAUAGCAAGAUGGUGAUCAGAAACUGCCAGAAACCAGGGUUUCCACCUGGCAGUUAAAGUCUCCCUCUGUCAGGAAUGGAGGUACGUUGUGAUUGACUGCGCACUGGCUCUCUCACUGCAGCAUGGAGGCAACUAUGUCAUGGGCCAGUGUUCUGUCGGGAGACUCACCCAAUAGUAUCCUGAGCUACUGGAGAGAAACUUCUGAGUCACUGGGUUUUGAGAGAGGGAGGGAUGGGGGUUGUGUUGGAUUCCUAGUAGGAACAUGAAUGUCCUUCUUUUAGAGCCUUGUACUCACCCAAAAUAAAUUUCAUCAA